rnacentral:tRNA from 1 species
ACCUGGCUGGCUCAGUCAAGGGAGCAUGAGGCUCUUGAUCUCAGGGUUGUGAGUUUGAGCCCCAUGUUGGGUA